rnacentral:snoRNA from 1 species
UAGUCUAUACUUUCAGAGAUCAUUUCUAUAGUAUCCAACUAGAGAAAUACACUCAAACACUGUAGGCUUUCAAGAAGAGAUUGGACUGCCGUCUGUCGGAAAUGGUGUGGAGUCUCCUGCUUGAGCAGGGAGUUGGACUAGAUGACCAAAACUGGAUGCAGAUUAUCUGA